rnacentral:rRNA from 1 species
AUGAAUGCAAUUCUUAGGAAUCAUUCCUAUGGAACUUUCCUUUUUCUAUUUGGUAGGAAAUUUUGUAUGAGUUCCAAGCUCUUGGAAAAUUCCUACGCUUCCAUCAAACACACACUUGCCCCAAUUCCUUUGUCUUGCAAUUUCAUUGGAUUCAGAUGGGCAGGGCAUAUUAAUCCUCCAUUUUUCCUAUCCUAUGAAUCAAAGGAGCCCUUAGUCAGUAAGAUAGUGUAUGCAGCUGGACAGCUAGUAGUAGUCAAUUUGCCUUUUGCAUGUACUAGCAACUGCUACUUGCCCUGUACUGUUUAUAUGCCUCAAGGCAACAAUACGAGUAACAGCUCCAGAAAAACACUAUCCUGUGUUCGGCCCCUGCUCCUCUCUGCUUCUAACAGUUUUUUGCUUGUUCUUUCCAAACCUAUCUAUUUGUAA